GGACUACGAGGGUAUCUAAUCCUGUUUGCUCCCCACACUUUCGCACCUCAGCGUCAGUAUCGAGCCAGUGAGCCGCCUUCGCCACUGGUGUUCUUCCGAAUAUCUACGAAUUUCACCUCUACACUCGGAGUUCCACUCACCUCUCUCGAACUCAAGACUAACAGUUUACAGGGCAGUUCCGGGGUUGAGCCCCGGGAUUUCACCCCAUACUUGCUAAUCCGCCUACGCGCGCUUUACGCCCAGUAAUUCCGAACAACGCUAACCCCCUCCGUAUUACCGCGGCUGCUGGCACGGAGUUAGCCGGGGUUUCUUUACCAGGUACUGUCAUUAUCAUCCCUGGCGAAAGAGCUUUACGAUCCUAAGACCUUCUUCACUCACGCGGCAUGGCUGGAUCAGGCUU
rnacentral:misc_RNA from 1 species